rnacentral:rRNA from 1 species
UACGGGAGGGUGCGAGUACGUUAAGUACGGUAAUUACGUGGGGACGUAAAGCGCAUGCGAGGGUUGGUUUAGGUUAAGUCAGAUGUAGAAACGGCCCCGGGGCUACCAACCCGUACGGUAAUUGCUAUUUAGAAACGUGGCAGACUAGAGUACUGUAGGAGGGGGUAGAAUUUCAGGUGUAGCGGUGAAAUGCGUAGAGAUCUGAAGGAAUACCGGCGGCGAAGGCGGCCCCCUGGACAGAUACUGACACUCAGAUGCGAAAGCGUGGGGAGCAAACAGGAUUAGAUACCCUGGUAG